ensembl:lncRNA
GCUCUGUUGUGGACAUUGAGAGCUUCACUAGUACCAGACAAUGACAAACUGUCAUUUUAAGGUGGAAUACCAAUUUUCAUUCCCUUUAGUAGUGCAGAAAAGUUCUUGUUUUUACACAUCAAGGCCAAUAUUUGGCAUUUUUUAACUAAAAAAUUUCCCACUCUGAAGAAUAUGAAAUAUUUUUGUAUUUUUUGCAUUUUUGUUAGUGAAGUUAAUAUUUUCAUGUUUUAGACUACGCAGUUUCCUCUUUGUGAACUUCCUGUUCAUAUCCUUUUCCCAUUCUUCUAUUAGUUCACUUUGCCUUUGUUUUAUUGUAUUUCAAUAUCUCAUACACUAAUUCCUUAUUGGUUAUAUUUAUUAUUAAGAUUUUCUCCCACUCUAUACUUUUCCUUUUUUUCCUUUUUUUUUUUUUUUUUUUGCUUACACCACAGGGCAUGCAUGCAGGAUCCUAGUUCCCCCACGAGGGAUCAAACCCCGACUCCUGCAGUGAAGCGCAGUGUCUUAACCACUGGACCGCCAGGGUAAGUCCCCAUAGUAUAUACAUUUGUAUGAUACAAAGGUGUUUGCUUAACCUGCUUGAAUUUAUAAAUAUUUUCCUUUGUAACUUAUGCCUUUUGUAUCUUAGUUAAGGACACAAACAUCACCCAGAGAUCAUACAGAUAUUCUAUAUAUUCUUUUUCUAAAUACUUUAAGAUUUACUUUUCAUAAAUAGAUUUUAAUCCACCUGGAAUUUAUUCUUUAAUGGAUUGAUAUUUUCUAAUAUUUUCCCUUUGGAUAUUAAUAAUCAUAUUUGAACCCCAUGUAUUGAAUGUUCAUCCUUUCUCCACCAAUUUUUAAAUUGCGGUAUGCUGCUGCUGCUAAGUCACUUCAGUCGUGUCCGACUCUGUGCGACCCCACAGACGGCAGCCCACCAGGCUCCCCUGUCCCUGGGAUUCUCCAGGCAAGAACACUGGAGUGGGGUGCCAUUGCCUUCUCCGAAAUUGCGGUAUGGUUGACAUUAAUUCAGUCAAUACAGAACACUUCUAUCACAAAGAUCUCUCAAGUUGCCUUUUACAGUCGUAUUUCCUUUCCACCCACCCCCACUUCUUCUUUAAUAUCAGGCAAUUGCUGGUCUGUUCUACAUGUCUAUAAUCUUUGCAUUUCAAGAAUAUUACAUACAGUUCCGGCAGGGAGUGCGGUGAGAAGCGGAUGGCGGCCUUCAACCCGGAGGUCCUCUGGCCUCCGGUGGGCAGCCUAAUGUCGGCGGCCGCUCAGAGCCCGGAUCUCGCUGACCAACCCACCCGGUUUCUUGGCCCAAGGCUGCAUGGUUUAGGCCAAGCCUCCGCCAGGCCCUCACGGGUGGGUGUGGACGCCUUGGACCCGCGCGGAUCCGGUACCUGAGGUGACCGCUUACGCGUGGAGACUGACGAAGACCUUAACGGCUCGGAAGGUGAGCUGAGCCGCGGUGGGCAACGGGUAGAAAUUAACGGUUCGGCAGUUGGUGGUGGUUCUGCCAAGACCUUGACGUCGAAAGACAUUAAUAGAAAUGGUGGAAUAACUUACCGCAUGCAGCCAAUAGGAACUAACCAUCGCCCUUUGGGAAGACUUCCUGUCCAUUUAUAGAAGGCCUAUGUCUAUAAUAUGAAAAAGCUGCUCUCAAUUUUUCACUCAACCUUGCAAAAGGAAACUCACGCUAUAUCUAGGCCUUCUAGAUACGAAGAGGUUGCUGAAGUAUGAUAAAGUCAAGUUAGAAAAUCAUAUAUCUUGUAAAUGCCCAUUUGUUUCUUUUUUUAAAACCAUGGAAAAGACGUAUCUUCUGGAAAUAAUUUUUCUAAAUGGAGUUGUUUGACCACUGUAAAAUAGUAAAAAAAAGUUAUAGAUUAAAAGUCACACAGACUUGAUGCAACGAAGAGUGUCCUAGAUACAUCAACCAAGGUAGAAAUCCUAAAGGAAAAGACUGACAGAUUUAAUUACAUUGAAAUAGAAACACACAUAGCAUUUUCUAUCUCACCUAUAGAUAAAGUGAUAAGUAUGUGAAUAUCCAGGCUUCCCAGGUGGCACUAGUGGUAAAGAAUCUGCCUGCCAAUGCAGGAGACAUAAGAGAGGCCGUUUCUAUCCCUGGCUCAGGAACAUCCCUUAAAGAAGGAAAUGGCUACUCACUCCAAUAGUCUUGCCUGCGAAAUCCCAUGGACAGAGCCUGGCAGGCUACAGUCCAUGCAGUUGCAAAGAGUCAGACAUGACUUACUGACUAAACACCACCAACAAACGUGGAUAGCCACACGAAAAUGCGGCAAUAAAAAGCACAAGCGUAUGGGCUGGAAGAAAACC